GGAGGCCAGCGGAAUGCGAGCGGCGUGAGAAAAACUAUAAAAGAUUAAAAAAAAAGACGGCCUGAAAAUCAGGGACGGUGGUCGCACUGGACACUUUUCAUUGUUGUUAACACUCGCUUUCACUUCAGGUCUUUCAGUGUUAUAACUUCGCACUUUUCCGCAGCUGGCUGACGGACCACAACAACUCUUGAAUGAGUCAGCUGAUUACGAGACGGUCACGUGUUUCAAGUGGGUUCCCGGAAGUCCUUAACGGGUCUCGUCUUUCUGGUACGUUACACAACAAACCAAGAGGUCAAAGUAAUGCUGGGACAAAACACCACACUUGACAACCCCCUAUCAGCAAGCACUAAGCAAAAGUGGGAAAGAAAAACUCCCUUUUAACAGGAAGAAACCUCCAGCAGACCCAGGCUCACCCCCAACAUCUGCUGCAGCUCUUUAGAGUGAGGAUGGCAGGUUUUCCCCAGAGAAGGUGGAGCUGCAUCUUUUGGGGCGAUCGUGGCUCAAGAGUUGGGAGUUCGCCUUGUAAUCGGAAGGUUGCCGGCUCGGACAGUCUCGGUCGUUGUGUCCUUGGGCAAGACGCUUCACCCGUUGCCUACUGGUGGUGGUCAGAGGGCCCGGUGGCGCCAGUGUCCGGCAGCCUUGCCUCUGUCAGUGCGCCCCAGGGUGGCUGUGGCUACAAUGUAGCUUGCCAUUACCAGUGUGUGAAUGUGUG
ensembl:lncRNA